UCAGGAUAACGCUGGCGGCGUGCUUAACACAUGCAAGUCGAGCGAUGAAGUUUCCUUCGGGAAACGGAUUAGCGGCGGACGGGUGAGUAACACGUGGGUAACCUGCCUCAUAGAGUGGAAUAGCCUUUCGAAAGGAAGAUUAAUACCGCAUAAUGUUGAAAGAUGGCAUCAUCAUUUAACCAAAGGAGCAAUCCGCUAUGAGAUGGACCCGCGGCGCAUUAGCUAGUUGGUGGGGUAACGGCCUACCAAGGCGACGAUGCGUAGCCGACCUGAGAGGGUGAUCGGCCACAUUGGGACUGAGACACGGCCCAGACUCCUACGGGAGGCAGCAGUGGGGAAUAUUGCACAAUGGGGGAAACCCUGAUGCAGCAACGCCGCGUGAGUGAUGAAGGUUUUCGGAUCGUAAAAGCUUCUGUCUUUGGGGAAGA
rnacentral:rRNA from 1 species